rnacentral:misc_RNA from 1 species
UGUUAAAAAAAAAAAAAAAUUGUGAACCAUAUGUUAUCUUCAAAUUAAAAAAAAAAAUUUGUAUAUAUUUGAAUUAUGUAUAAAUGGAGGAGUUAUGAACUGCUAAAAUUAUGUCUAUUGUUUGAUUGUACUUCUAUUGGGUCAUUUCCCUGGCUGCUGACUUUCCUUAAUCAAGCAGCCUAUUAACCCUGUAUUCUGUGAUAUAUUGGAUUCUGG